rnacentral:rRNA from 1 species
ACGGGAGGCAGCAGUGGGGGAUAUUGCACAAUGGGGGAAACCCUGAUGCAGCGACGCCGCGUGAGCGAAGAAGUAUUUCGGUAUGUAGAGCUCUAUCAGCAGGGAAGAAAAUGACGGUACCUGACUAAGAAGCUCCGGCUAAAUACGUGCCAGCAGCCGCGGUAAUACGUAUGGUGCAAGCGUUAUCCGGAUUUACUGGGUGUAAAGGGAGCGCAGGCGGUACGGCAAGUCUGAUGUGAAAGCCCGGGGCUCAACCCCGGUACUGCAUUGGAAACUGUCGAACUAGAGUGUCGGAGGGGUAAGCGGAAUUCCUAGUGUAGCGGUGAAAUGCGUAGAUAUUAGGAGGAACACCAGUGGCGAAGGCGGCUUACUGGACGAUAACUGACGCUGAGGCUCGAAAGCGUGGGGAGCAAACAGGAUUAGAUACCCUGGUA